rnacentral:lncRNA from 1 species
UUUCCUAGUGGGAUUUUCCCUUACAUAUAUUCUUACUUCUUUUCAUUUAGAGAUGACCCUUCAUCAUGUAGAUUUAGUGUUUAUGAAUUCUUUUAGUCUGUGCUUAUUUGGCAAGUUCUUUAUCUCUCCUUAUAUUCUAAAUGAUAAUCUUCCUGGGUAGAGUAUCCUAGGUAGCAGGUUUUUCCCUUUCAGCCCUUUGAAUAUAUAAUGCCACUCCCUUCUGGCCUGCAAAGUUUCUACAGAAAAAUCAGCUGAUAGCUUUUUGGGGUUCCCUUGUAACUUCUUAUUUGUUUUUCUCUUGCUGCAUUUAGAAUUCUCUUUUUAUCUUUUGCCACUCUAAUUUGCCUUAGCUCAGGACUCUUUGGCUUCAUCUUGUUUGGGACCUUCUGUACUUCCUAUACCUGGGAUCUGUUUCCUUCUUCAGAUUUGGGAAGUUUUCAGCAAUAAUUUCUUCAAAUAGUUUUUUUUUUAAUAUAUUUCUCUCUCUUCAGCUUCUGGAACCCCUAUACUGUGAAUGAUGGAGUCCCUAAUGUUAUCUCAGAGAUCUCUUGAUUGCUUUUAAUUUUUAAAAUUCAUUUUCCUUUCUGCUACUCUGAUUUGGUGAUUUCCAUCAUUCUAUCUUCCAGAUCACUUUUGCCUUCUUCUAUUAUUCUGUUAUUAUUGCCUUCUUACUGUUAUAAUAGUCUGUUAUUCAUUCCUUCUAGUUUGUUUAUUAUUUCAGCUAUUGAAUUAUUUAUUUUUGAUGCAGACUUUUUAUAUUUUCUAGUUCCUUUAAAUUGUUAGUGUUUAGAGCAAUUCUUUUCUUUUUUUAAUUUAAUGAUUUUUAUUCUUUAAUAAUAGUUGGCUUACAGUGUUCUAUCAAUUUCCUACCAUACAGCAAAGUGACCCAGUCAUUAUACACACACACACACACACACACACACAUAUAUAUAUAUAUAUACUUUUUCUCACAUUAUCCUCCAUCACAUUCCAUCACAAGUGACUAGAUCUAGUUCCAUGCUAAAUACAGCAUGCUCUCAUUGCUUAUCCAUUCCAGAUGCCAUAGUUUACAACUAUUAACCCCAUACUCCCACAUCCCACUCCUUCCCACUCCCCCUUGACAACCACAAGUCCAUUCUCCAAGUCCAUGAAUUUCUUUUCUGUGGAAAGGUUCAUUUGUGACAUACAUUAGAUCCCAGAUAUCUGAUAUUGUAUGGCAUUUGUCUUUCUCUUUCUGACUUAUUUCACUUAGUAUGAGAGUCUCUAGUUCCAUCCAUGUGGCAUUAUUUUGUUCUUUUUAUGGCUGAGUAGUAUUCCAUUUGUAUAUAUGCCAUGUCUUCUUGAUCCAUUCAUAUGUCAAUGUACAUUUAGGUUGUUGUUUCUAUGUCUUGGCUGUUGUGAAUAGUGCUGCAAUGAACAUGUGGGUGCAUGUGUCUUUUUCAAGGAUAGUUUUGUCUGGAUAUAUUCCCAAGAGUGGGAUUGCUAGGUCAUAAGGUAGUUCUAUAUUUAGUUUUCUGAAAUACCUUCAUACUGUUCUCCAUAGUGGUUGUACCAAUUUACAUUCCCACCAACAGUGUAGGAGGAUACCCUUUUCUCCACACUCUCUCCAGCAUUUGUUUUUUGUUGAUUUGUUAAUGAUGGCCAUUCUGACAGGUGAGAGGUGGUAUCUGAAUUCUCUCUGUUAAAUUGUCUCCAUUUCAUUGUUUUUAAGGAGUUUUCUCUUCUUUUCAAUUGAGAGUAGUUAUUUUGCCUUUUCAUUUUACUUAACUUCUCUUCUUCUAUUAAUUUAGGUGAAACAGUUACAUAUUGUAUCCUUGAAGGGGUUUUCUUAUGUGGGAGCAUCCCUAUGUAGAUUGCUUAUGUCCAGCACCUUUGGUGGGAGGGCUGGAUUUGAUGUGGAUGCCAAUCAAGUCUUUUCUCAGAGUAUGCUGGCAGCUUUCACCUUGGUGUUUGAUGGGCUGUAGAUGGAGUUUCUAGAACCAGCACUAAGUGUGAGGUGGAACUUUCUGCUCAGCAUCCAUCACAGCCCUGUCAGGUACAAGGUCUGAUCCCAAGUUGCUGGAGCAGAAACCCUGAAGGUUGGACUUGGGCUGACUCUUUUCCCUUUAAGUGUGUGUUUUUCCUUCUCCCUUCCAUGGAAAGUUCACCCCAGAGGAAGGGAGUGCUGAAACAAGUGGAGCCUGUGCACAUACAGAGAUCUGAUUUUCUCCCUGUGUAGGUGUCUGUGGCUCUACUCAGAUGCAAACAUAGUCAUGACUUUUCCUCAGUCAUAAUAAUCCCAGAUCUAAUGAUUGUAUUGUGGUCUGAGCAGAGCUGGAGUGUUUCUCAGCUUGGACCGAGACUCACUGGGCUGGGGCACAUGCUGAUGUGGUCACUGGAAACCCAGAAGCCACUAGAGCAAAUGUCUCUCUGCCCGCCUUGGGGGCAGGACCUCUUUGUAUCUUAUAGCUGAUCACUGUUCCCAACCUCCACUACUCUCCAUAUGUUGUGGCACUGUUCCACAGGGGAGUCAUGUGGUUUAUUUUCAUGCUUGAAUUGGGAUGUGAGCUGUGGUCAAAUGGUUGCUAUAAAAAAUUUGGGCUGCUUCUGGGUACUUGAGUAAAUACCAAUAAUGGCCACCAUAGGCCUACCUGGUCUCUGCCCUGGGACUGGAUCACCUCUGAGUCCCAAGGUUGAGUCCUUUCCCUGGACCUGGACACCCUAGAUAU